CCCUUAGAUGUCCGGGGCUGCACGCGCGCUACACUGAAGGAAUCAGCGUGCUAAAACCAUUGUCGAAAGGCAUUGGUAAACCCAUUAAAAUCCUACGUGAUUGGGAUCGGGAAUUGCAAUUAUUUCCCUUGAACGAGGAAUUCCCAGUAAGUGUGGGUCAUAAGCUCGCGUUGAUUACGUCCCUGCCCUUUGUACACACCGCCCGUCGCUGCCCGGGACUGAGCCGUUUCGAGAAAAGCGGGGACUGCUGCUGUCGGGGCUUUCGGGCCUUGGCUUCGGUGGAAACCGCUUUAAUCGCAGUGGCUUGAACCGGGCAAAAGUCGUAUCA
rnacentral:rRNA from 1 species